AACAUCUGAGGAUCUUGUUAAAAUGCAGAUUCUGAUUCAGUGGGUCUGGGGUGGGGCCUGGGAUUCUGCAUUUCUAACCAGCUCCUUGGUGAUGCUAA
rnacentral:pre_miRNA from 1 species